GAUCAUGGCUCAGAACGAACGCUGGCGGCAGGCUUAACACAUGCAAGUUGAACGGGAUUUGUGUGGUGCUUGCACCAUAUAAUGAGAGUAGCGCACUGGUGGGUAACACGUGGGAACGUACCUUUUGGUGGGGGACAACAUCUGGAAACGGAUGCUAAUACCGCAUAAGACCUGAGGGUGAAAGAUUUAUCGCCGAAAGAACGGCCCGCGGAAGAUUAGGCAGUUGGUGGGGUAAAGGCCUACCAAACCUACGAU
rnacentral:rRNA from 1 species